UUCUCUAAUUUUUCUUAUUUUUUUGCUUUAUUUCAUUAUUUUUUCACUUUUCUAUAUAAUUUUACUUCUUUUGUUACUGUCUAUCAUUUUGUGUGUGUGUGUAUGUGUGUGUGUGUGUGUGUGUGUGUGUGUGUGUGUGUGUGAGUGUUUGUGUGUGUCUUAUUUCCCUGUUUAUUAUUUUUUUCUGUCUAAUUUUUUUCUUUUCUUUUUGUGUGUUUUUCUUCCUCUUUUUAUCUAGUAUAUGACAUGUUUAUUUACACAUAUUUUCCUUCCUGCAAUAAUUCUCAAAGUUACAAAUAAACAACUCAAGUACGAAACGCCAUAAUUGCAAUUUUUGAGAUGUUCUGUAAGUCAUUUUCACCUCAAAGUAACAUAUAUAACAGUCAGUCUCAUCAAUAACUCACAUACCCGUCAUUUAAGUGUAUCGAUUAUUGCAAUUAUUAGUAAACGUCGAUCGUACUUACAACAAAACGCCCACAUUUUUCAUACCAUUGGCGUCGGAAAUUUUAGCCUGGUAGCUGCGUGGAUCCUCUUUCUUAGGCUGGAAUUACGAGGCACUUUGCAAUAUCACAUGAGCUAUUUUUUAAGGUCAAAGAGGGCAUCAAUCGGGUUCUAAUGGGUGUUUCUUUAGGUUCAUGGUACAGAAGAAGGGUCAGACUACCACCAGGGUCAUAAAACUACCCCAGGAAAAGCCCACAACUCCUACGAAAGUCUUGUCAAAUAGGUGUUUCUUUAGGUUCAUGGUACAGAGGAAGGGUCAGACUACCACCAGGGUCAUAAAACUACCCCAGGAAAAGCCCACAACUCCUACGAAAGUCUUGUCAAAUAGGUGUUUCUUUAGGUUCAUGGUACAGAGGAAGGGUCAGACUACCACCAGGGUCAUAAAACUACCCCAGGAAAAGCCCACAACUCCUACGAAAGUCUUGUCAAAUAGGUGUUUCUUUAGGUUCAUGGUACAGAGGAAGGGUCAGACUACCACCAGGGUCAUAAAACUACCCCAGGAAAAGCCCACAACUCCUACGAAAGCCUUGUC